rnacentral:lncRNA from 14 species
AGCAGAAUGUGGCUCAAUAGGAAAAGUGUUACCAUAAGAAGUCUGUUAAAUAAUCCUGUAUGAACUUGGGUGUACAAAGGAUAAAAGGCAAACUUCAAAUGCUGGGCUGAAAUUUUCUAUGCUAUGGACCUUACCCCACCCUGGACCAUUUUUACUCCUAGAAUUCUCAUUCUGAAAAAAAUACUAUUUUGAAUAUGCAAAAAUAACUGUGCCAUGGCUGAAAUGUUCUCUGGGAAGGUUUAAACCCUGGAGCUCUGGAAAGGCAGGAAAAGUAUCACCUGGAAUUUUGCUGAGGAACCCCACCGCCAUGGACAGUGAGGACUGCAGCACCUGCCUUGCCCCAUGGUGGCCAACUCAACCCAGACAGGGAAUUACAGGUGUCUUCUGAUUAUAAAGCAGAGGCUCCACAGUUGUCUCUGCAUUCAUCAACAAAAGCAAGAGGAGAUGGGUGCCCUAUGUGCAUGUGAAAGGCUUGAAUAA